rnacentral:rRNA from 1 species
AUACGUAGGUGACAAGCGUUAUCCGGAUUUACUGGGCGUAAAGGGCGUGUGGGCGGUCUUGCAAGUCAGAAGUGAAAUUCCUGAGCUCAACUCGGGCGCUGCUUCUGAAACUGCAGGACUUGAGUGCUGGAGGGGAUAGCGGAAUUCCUGGUGUAGCGGUGAAAUGCGCAGAUAUCAGGAGGAACACCGGUGGCGAAGUCGGGUCUCUGGGCAGUAACUGGCGCGUAGGGGCGAAAGCAUGGGAAGCAGAAAGGAUUUGAUACCCUGGUUGUCCAGGCCGUAAACGGUGGUCGCUAGGUGUAUGGGUCUUCCGCGACUUCUGUGCCGUAGCUAACGCAUUAAGCGCCCCGCCUGGGGAGUACGGCCGCAAGGUUGAAACUCAAAGGAAUUGACGGGG